AGUGCUUAUCGACAUCUGGGAAUGGGGGAGAAAAUGCCAACCACAUAAUACAAAUGGUUGCUUGAAUAAAGGAGCAGGAAAUCACGAUGGAGUUGGCCAGCCUCUUCCCCACCCAUUUCCUCAUCCUGGAUCCUGGUUUGGUGGCCAUGAAAGCCAGAAUCACAGUGAUUGUUUGUGCCAGCACACAAGAAACAGCCACUGAGAAGAUGAUGCCAAAAACAGGUUGUCGCAGAAGACAUGUCACCUUCUGAGGCUGUCCAAUGAAUAGCAAUGCACAAAGGAAGCAGAGCAGGAGGGAGAGGAGGAGCAUGUAGGUGAGAUCCCGGUUGUUGGCUUUGACAAUGGGAGUGUUGUGGUGCUUCAGAAACGUCCCUAGCACCAGAGCUGUGAUGAUUGAAGAGGAAAGCGAAAAAGAGGCUAAACUGAUCCCCAAAGGUUCUUCAUAAGACAAGAAGCUGAUUUCCUUCAGAAUACACAGAUCCUGUUUUUUGUUGGGAUAAUAUUCAUCUGGACAUUUAAAACAGUCAUUCAUAUCUGAAGAAGAAGCAAUGAGUUAUCAGGUUUAUAUUGGUGUUCCAAACAAUACAAUCCACGCUAAUCUUGCAUAGAUUAAAGUUUACGUAGUCCUGUCAUCCCAACAGACUCUAAGCAAUGAUUAAUCUAUGAGAAUUGGGCAUUUUUAAAUAUAUACAAUAAAACCUCAAAUGUAGUGCUUUACCAAGGACAAUGUUACACCAGGUGCUGAUUUUCAUCUGCCAAGCAGUUUAUCAUGGAUAUUCAAGACAUUUCCUUAAAAAA